AGAGUUUGAUCAUGGCUCAGAACGAACGCUGGCGGCAUGCCUAACACAUGCAAGUCGAACGCCUGUAGCAAUACAGGAGUGGCAGACGGGUGCAAAACGCGUGGAAACCUAUCCUUGGGUUCGGAAUAACCGCGGGAAACUGCGGCUAAUACCGGAUACGUCCUUCGGGAGAAAGAUUUAUCGCCCAUUGAGGGGUCCGCGUCUGAUUAGCUAGUUGGUGAGGUAAUGGCUCACCAAGGCGACGAUCAGUAGCUGGUCUGAGAGGAUGAUCAGCCACACUGGAACUGAGACACGGUCCAGACUCCUACGGGAGGCAGCAGUGGGGAAUAUUGGACAAUGGGCGCAAGCCUGAUCCAGCAAUGCCGCGUGGGUGAUGAAGGCCUUCGGGUUGUAAAGCCCUUUUGGCGGGGACGAUGAUGACGGUACCCGCCGAAUAAGCUCCGGCUAACUUCGUG
rnacentral:rRNA from 1 species